CCCUUGGUAGCUCAGUUGGAAGAGCGUGAGACUGUAAUGUAAUCUCAAGGUCACUGGUUCGAACCCGGUCCGAGGGA
rnacentral:tRNA from 1 species